UUCCGGUUGAUCCUGGCAGAGGCUACUGCUAUUGGGGUCCGAUUAAGCCAUGCGAGUCGAACGUCCCUUCGGGGACGUGGCGAACGGCUCAGUAACACGUGGACAACCUACCCUUAGGACCGGGAUAACCCCGGGAAACUGGGGACAAUCCCGGAUAGGUGAAGUGGCCUGGAAUGGUACUUCACUGAAAGGCUCUUCGGAGCGCCUAAGGAUGGGUCUGCGGCCGAUUAGGUAGUUGGUAGGGUAACGGCCUACCAAGCCGAUAAUCGGUACGGGUUGUGAGAGCAAGAGCCCGGAGAUGGAACCUGAGACAAGGUUCCAGGCCCUACGGGGCGCAGCAGGCGCGAAACCUCCGCAAUGCACGCAAGUGCGACGGGGGGACCCCAAGUGCCACUCUUAACGGGGUGGCUUUUCAGGAGUGUAAAAAGCUCCUGGAAUAAGGGCUGGGCAAGACCGGUGCCAGCCGCCGCGGUAACACCGGCAGCUCGAGUGGUAGCCGCGUUUAUUGGGCCUAAAGCGUCCGUAGCCGGUCCGAUAAGUCUCUGGUGAAAGCCCACAGCUCAACUGUGGGAAUCGCUGGAGAUACUAUCGGACUUGAGGCCGGGAGAGGCUGGAGGUACUCCCAGGGUAGGGGUGAAAUCCUAUAAUCCUGGGAGGACCACCUGUGGCGAAGGCGUCCAGCUGGAACGGACCUGACGGUGAGGGACGAAAGCCAGGGGCGCGAACCGGAUUAGAUACCCGGGUAGUCCUGGCCGUAAACGAUGCGGACUUGGUGUUGGGAUGGCUUUGAGCUGUCCCAGUGCCGAAGGAAGCUGUUAAGUCCGCCGCCUGGGAAGUACGGCCGCAAGGCUGAAACUUAAAGGAAUGGGCGGGGGGGCACA
rnacentral:rRNA from 1 species